GACGAACGCUGGCGGCGUGCUUAACACAUGCAAGUCGAACGGAAAGGCCCUGCUUUUGUGGGGUGCUCGAGUGGCGAACGGGUGAGUAACACGUGAGUAACCUGCCCUUGACUUUGGGAUAACUUCAGGAAACUGGGGCUAAUACCGGAUAGGAGCUCCUGCUGCAUGGUGGGGGUUGGAAAGUUUCGGCGGUUGGGGAUGGACUCGCGGCUUAUCAGCUUGUUGGUGGGGUAGUGGCUUACCAAGGCUUUGACGGGUAGCCGGCCUGUGAGGGUGACCGGCCACAUUGGGACUGAGAUACGGCCCAGACUCCUACGGGAGGCAGCAGUGGGGAAUAUUGCACAAUGGGCGGAAGCCUGAUGAAGCAACGCCGCGUGCGGGAUGACGGCCUUCGGGUUGUAAACCGCUUUCGCCUGUGACGAAGCGUGAGUGACGGUAAUGGGUAAAGAAGCACCGGCUAACUACGUG
rnacentral:rRNA from 1 species